ensembl:rRNA 5S_rRNA 5S ribosomal RNA
GUCUACGGCCAUACCACCCUGAACACACCCGAUCUCAUCUGAUCUCAGGAAGCUAAGCAGGGUCGGGCCUGGUUAGUACUUGGAUGGGAGACCAUUUAUUUAAUUGUAAGUUUGUAUCAU